UUGUGUUCCUCCCGGGCCUCGAGUCUUGGGCAGCUGGUGGGAGGUCGCCCUCUAAUGGUUGGCCCUUGAGAGCCGCGGCAGGCCCCUCCGGGACGUCCUACCCGGAUCUACAGCGCGUGGUGGCCUGCAGCACUCUAGGUUGUCAUCCCUCAGAAGAAUGGUUAGAAGGUUACUACUGCUCCAAAAAAUAAAGUAGAGGGGGAAAAUCUCUGCCUCUCAUGUUUGCUGAGCAACUGGUAUCACCACACACAUAGGGAACCACGUGGGCCACGUUGCCAAAAGACAGGAGUAGCACCAAGCUAAAGCACCACGAGAGGAGAAAUGAGAACUACAGGAUGAAGGCAAUUUGGUUAUGUGAAUUUUAAAUCUGCUGCUGCUGAGGAUAAAGCUGUGGAACCUAGUGGCAUGAAGGUCCUUGGGUAUGAAAUUAAACUGAAGAAACCAAAGGGAAAUGCAAACGAGAUAGAAAUGCCAGAACACUCUUUUCAAGAACCUGCCUGACAAAGUCACUCAGCAUGAAUUAAAAGAAGUCUUUGAGGAUGCUUUUCAAAUCAGAUUGAUGAGCAAGGAUGGGAUGAGUAAAAGGUACGUUUUGUAUCUUGUGCUGAAAGUGAAUGUGUCCACUGGAUUCAAACAUAACAGAAUUUCAUUUCACUCCCCCAAAUAACUUAUGCCUGAUUUUAGAGAAGGAAACAGUAUUAUCCAGCCUUUCUACCAGCAGGCAUGAAAAGAUGAAGGGGACAUCAUAAAUGGACAGCCUAAAACUUCUUGAAAACUGUAGUGGUGUCAUAGAGAAAUGCUUAUACUUUGUUGACAGAAGUGCAAUCAGUGAAGUCUGUACAGAGAUUAAUUACCUAACAGUAUCUAUCAGUUACAGUUGCACAUAUCAUUUUAUCCUGCAGUUCCACUCCUAAGAAUCAGUCCUACAGUUAAAAGUCAGUCAUGGGUGAAAUAAUAUUACAGAGUUGUUCAAUGCAAAAUUAGAAUUGACCUGAAUAUCUAUCAGUAGAAAACUGGUUAAAAUUUUCUGGUACAUUCAGAAGAUUUUUUUUUUUAUGCAGUUGUAAAAUGAAAUGAAACAGUAUUUUGUGUACUGAUGGGAAAUAAUCUCUAAUAUGCAUGAUUAAGUAUAUCGGAGGACACACCAUACACAAAAAUUAACUCAAAGCAGAUCAAAGACUUAAAUGAAAGAGCUAAAAUAGAAAACUACAAAGGACACACAGGAGUAAAUCUUUGUGAUCUUGGGUUAGGGUAUUGCACAAGCCACAAAAGAGAAGAUGGAGAAGUUGGAUUUUAUCAAACCUGAAAAUAUUUGUACUAAAAAGGACACACCUAAAAGUCAAAAGAAAUUCUACAGACUGGAGAAAAUACUGCAAAUCAUGUAUCUGAUAAAAGACUUGUAUUCAGAAUAUAUAAAGAACUCUUAUAACUCAAUAAUAGAAAGAAAACCCAAUUAAAAAAUGGGCAAAGGACUUAACUAGACAGGAAGAACAGCACCUAGAGAGGUAAGGGAUGCUGGAGCUCUGGAGAGUGAGACUUGUCAGGGUUCCCUAGGGAGGGGCUAGUUCCCUAGCUUAGGGGUACUUGGCACUUUGAAGUACAAUUUCUCCCUGUAUCAGAAACGUGUAAGUCAUCCUCAUAAUCAGAUCAAGCUGAUGAGUAUUAUCCUAGUUAACUGUGACCUUGAUGUUGCAAAAGACAUGGCCCUUGAGACACAUCAGUUUAGAUUCCUUUUUGGGUACCUUCUAGGAUUCUGUUUGAAGAAGCUUUUAAACUGUGGUUUCAGAAGUAUGUAUUUCAUUCUCGUCAGACAUUUAAUUCUCUUCAAGUAGAUUUUUUUUGUUUUUUGGUAUCGUUAAUCUACAAUUACAUGAGGAACAUUAUGUUUACUAGACUCUUCCCAUCACUAAAUCCCGCCCACAAACCCCAUUACAGUCACUGUCCAUCAGCAUAGUAAGAUGCUGUAGAAUCACUACUUGUCUUCUCUGUGUUGCACAGCCCUCCCCGUGCCCCCCCACAUUAUACAUGCUAAUUGUAAUACUCCCUUUCUCCGCCCACUCCUUAUCCCUCCCUUCCCACCCAUCCUCCCCAGUCCCUUUCCCUUUGGUAAUUGUUAGUCCAUUCUUGGGUUCUGUGAGUCUGCUGCUGUUCUGUUCCUUCAGUUUUUGCUUUGUUCUUAUACUCCACAGAUGAGUGAAAUCAUUUGGUACUUGUCUUUCUCUGCCUGGCUUAUUUCACUGAGCAUAAUACCCUCAAGCUCCAUCCAUGUUGUUGCAAAUGGUAGGAUUUGUUUUCUUCUUAUGGCUGAAUAGUAUUCCAUUGUGUAUAUGUACCACCUCUUCUUUAUCCAUUCAUCUACUGAUGGACACUUAGGUUGCUUCCAUUUCUUGGCUAUUGUAAAUAGUGCUGCAAUAAACAUAGGGGUGCAUCUGUCUUUUUCAAACUGGGCUCCUGCAUUCUUAGGGUAAAUUCCUAGAAGUGGAAUUCCUGGGUCAAAUGGUAUUUCUAUUUUGAGCUUUUUGAGGAACCUUCAAGUAGAAUUUUUGCCAGGUUUAAACCAAAGACCCCAAACCAGUGUCCUAAUCUGCCUAAUCUGAUGAGUAGACAUGGUGGCUUAUACAGUAUUUACAGACAGAAAAUUGAGUUUAUUAUUAAUAUUUUUAAAAAUAAGAAAUUUCACACUAAAAUCUGGAUUUCCAGCUUCUUUUGUGACAUCAGAAAGCCUGG